GAUUUUCCAACAUUGAGAGGUUUAGCCUCAGCAUAUACAAUUUCACCAAGAUUUGCACUUCUUAGGUGGUGGAUGCUGAGGUGGACCCCAGCCACCCUUUCGAACCCGGACGCCACGUGGGCGCCCAUACUAGCCAGAGAUUCAGCUACUAGAGCCGAGACUCCACCAUGCAACACAUUAAAAGGGUUGCAACAUUUUUUAACCACCAAAAAGUAACCGAAAAUUUUCUGAGGAGAAAUCUCUGAAAUUUUAAAACCGAUAACAUCGAGUGGUGCAUCUAAAAUCUCUUUCAUUGGAAUUGAUUUUGUUAAUUGCUCCAUUUUUUUCCUUUUUUCUUAUCUUUUUUUUUUUUACUUCCUUUGAUUUUCUCUGGAAUUCUUGGAAAUGAUGUUGGGAAAUUGGAACCAAAAAAUGAAUUUAUAUAGAAUUUUUUUUUUCGGUUUGGAUUUGUUUUCUACUUUUAAAAAAAGAGAUAAAAAAAGAUUUGUCUGAGUCAACUUUUUUUUUUUUUUUUUUUUUCUGAGUCAACUUAUGUGUAUAUCUUAUUAUGUUUUUAUAUGAAGAAAUGGAUAAAGAUGAAAUAAAAGGAUAAAAAUACAUAUUAUUUUUUUACUAGUCAACUUUAGCAAAUUAAAAAAUAAUAAUUUUAAUUUAUCUUUUUUAUUAUGGAAAAUUUUUUCAAAAUGUCAAUAUUUUAACAUUUAAGAGAGCUCAUUAGCAAUACUUUUAAUAUUUAGUAAAAGUGUCAAAUUUUAAUUUGUUAUGUAUCUUAUUUAUGUUUUAUUAUUUAUUUUUAUUUAAAGAAUAUAAUUAUUUAAUAACAAAAGGGAGAAAAUCAAGGGAGAGAAUAUUUCAAAAAAAAAUAAAAUAUAUAUAUAUAUAUAUAUAUAUACACACACACACACAUACAAUCCUCGAGUUGAAUACUAUGAUUUGAAUGGAACAAACAUAAUGUGCAUCGAAAGUUUGUCAUUUUACGCUUAUCGAAAGUUAAUUUGAUUAAUUUUUAAAAAUUAAUUAGAUCACAUUAAUUCGAUAUUUUAAACAAAAAAAUUAGAUAUUCUAAAAGUACAUGAAAAGUACUAUAAAUUACAAUUUUUUGCAUGUUAAUAUGAUGAAAAAAUACAUCUUGAAAUGUUAGUCAAAAUUUUUAUAAUUUGACUUUAAAAUUGGAAACCAUAACAAACAAUUUCGGAUGAAGAGAAUAGUUUGUUAAUGAAUUUUGUUACAUAUAUAGUUUUGCGUGUUUUUUUUUUUUUUUGCAUAAUUAAUUUCGAAUUUUUAAACCAAAUAUAGGGAUUCAAGAAAGUGUCAUCCAAAAAGUGCGAAUUCUCACAUAAGUUCAAGAAGGGAAAUAAAGUGAUAAUGCAUAAAUACUCCCAUAAUUUAUGUUUGAAAUUUCAUAGACACACUUAUACUAUACUAAAGUUUUAUUACCUCCAUAAACUUAUUUUAAUAAUAAUUUUUGAUCACUUUUCAGCCUACGUGACACUAUCUUGUAAGAUCAACACUGAUUGACUUCUUUUUUCAAUGUAAUGCCACGUAGAUCGAAAAGGGGUAGAAAAUUACUUAUAAAAUAAGUUCAGGGAGGUAAUGGGACAUUAGUAUAGUAUAAGUGUGUUUCUAAAAUUUCGAACAUGAGUUGAGGAGUAUUUGUGGAUUUUCCUGAAAAUAAACAUUUACUUGCAAAAAUAGCCAUAAAAAAGUGACCAAAGUGUUUUUCCUUUAUAUUUAAACUUUAAAGUCAUGUUCUCAUGAAGAAAGCCCAAAUGUGGCUACAAUUGAAAGACAACAGUUGCUUUAGAAUGUGUGUGUGUGGGGGGGGGGGGGGGGGGACUACAAUUGCAAAUGCAAAUUGCUCAUAAAAUUGUUGAAUUGCCUUUCUAAGUAUGUAGGCAAUCAACAAAAAUAAAAUUAAAAGAUGACUUUUGUUUAGCCAACAAAAAUAAAGUUAAAUUUUUUUUUUGUUGAAAUAAGUAAAUUGCUUUAUUUUUAGACAACUAAUUUUCUUUUCAUAUUCAUAAAGUCUAAGAUUAACUGAAAUGGUAUUAUAUGUGUUGUUCAACAAAUAAGGUUAAUAUUGAUUUCCCUUAUCAACAUCUCUUAAUCGAAUUAGAUGCACCAAACUUAACUUACGUAUAACAAGGUUUACAUCUUCUAUUCGAUUUGCGAGCUAUUUGAUAUAUAAAAUUCAUAUCUCAUGUAAAACAAUUUUUUUAUAUAUAUAAUUUAUGAUCUUUAAGAUAAAGUAAGAAAUUGUAUUAAAUUUUAUAUCGAUCAGAUAAUUAGAUAAUUUAAAAUAAUCAAACAAACACUAAAAGUUUCUAAUUCACAACUAGCAAAGCUUACUUGACUCAACUCACUUGAUUGAAUUCGACUUGACUAGAUGAAUUCAAACUUAAACUUUAUUACAAACUCAAUUGACUCAAACUUUAUUGCAAGCUUAACUGAAUUUGAUUCCACUCUAUCAAAUCAACAUAAACUCUAUAACAAGAUCGAUUGAACUUAAUUCGUUAUCGAGACCUAAUUAUAACUUGGCAUGCUUCUUUAUAUUCAUAGCAGCUUCUUUGACAUUUUUUGGUAGAGGCAUGUUUGUCUUGAUAGUAACUCUUGAUGAAGAAAUCAAAAUUCUUUCCCCUAAAAUUAAGGAAUUAUUUUUCCACAAAUUCACUUCCCAAACAUGAAUUGAUUUUCCAACAUUGAGAGGUUUAGCCUCAGCAUAUACAAUUUCACCAAUAUUUGCACUUCUUAGGUGGUGGAUGCUGAGGUGGACCCCAGCCACCCUAUCAAAUCCGGACGCCACGUAGGCGCCUAUGCUAGCCAGAGACUCGGCUGUUAGAGCCGAGACUCCACCAUGCAACACCUCAAAAGGGUUGCAACAUUUUUCAGUCACUGAAAAGUAACCGAAAAUUUUAUGAGGGGAAACCUCUGUAAUUUUAAAAUCGAUAACAUCAAGUGGUGCAUCUAAAAGAUCUUUGAUUGGAAUUGAUUUUGCUGAUGGCUCCAUUUUUUAUUUUUUUUUGUUUCCUUUGAUUUAUUUUCUCUUGGAUUCUUGGAAAUGAUGUUGAGG
rnacentral:lncRNA from 1 species